rnacentral:rRNA from 1 species
GACGAACGCUGGCGGCGUGCUUAACACAUGCAAGUCGAGCGGUAAGGCCCUUUCGGGGGUACGACGAGCGGCGAACGGGUGAGUAACACGUGGGUGACCUGCCCUCGGCUCUGGGAUAAGCCUGGGAAACCGGGUCUAAUACUGGAUAUGACUCCAUGACGCAUGUUGUGGGGUGGAAAGCCUUGUGCGGCUGAGGAUGGGCCCGCGGCCUAUCAGCUUGUUGGUGGGGUGAUGGCCUACCAAGGCGACGACGGGUAGCCGGCCUGAGAGGGCGACCGGCCACACUGGGACUGAGACACGGCCCAGACUCCUACGGGAGGCAGCAGUGGGGAAUCUUGCGCAAUGGGCGAAAGCCUGACGCAGCGACGCCGCGUGAGGGAUGACG